rnacentral:rRNA from 1 species
UACGUAGGCAGCAAGCGUUGUUCGGAGUUACUGGGCGUAAAGGGUGCGUAGGCGGUCCGCUAAGUUGGAUGUGAAAACUCUGGGCUUAACCCAGAGCCUGCAUUCAAAACUGACGGGCUAGAGUUCUGGAGGGGGUAGCGGAAUUCCUGGUGUAGCGGUGAAAUGCGUAGAUAUCAGGAGGAACACCGGUGGCGAAGGCGGCUACCUGGACAGAAACUGACGCUGGAGGCACGAAAGCUAGGGGAGCAAACAGG